AGUGAACGCUGGCGGUAGGCCUAACACAUGCAAGUCGAACGGCAGCACAGUAAGAGCUUGCUCUUACGGGUGGCGAGUGGCGGACGGGUGAGGAAUACAUCGGAAUCUACUUUUUCGUGGGGGAUAACGUAGGGAAACUUACGCUAAUACCGCAUACGACCUACGGGUGAAAGCAGGGGAUCUUCGGACCUUGCGCGAUUGAAUGAGCCGAUGUCGGAUUAGCUAGUUGGCGGGGUAAAGGCCCACCAAGGCGACGAUCCGUAGCUGGUCUGAGAGGAUGAUCAGCCACACUGGAACUGAGACACGGUCCAGACUCCUACGGGAGGCAGCAGUGGGGAAUAUUGGACAAUGGGCGCAAGCCUGAUCCAGCCAUACCGCGUGGGUGAAGAAGGCCUUAGGGUUGUAAAGCCCUUUUGUUGGGAAAGAAAAGCAGCAGGUUAAUACCCCGCUGUUCUGACGGUACCCAAAGAAUAAGCACUGGCUAACUUCGUG
rnacentral:rRNA from 1 species